ACAGUCAGUGGGUAUCCCAUGGGAGGGGAUGAGUCUUUGGGUAAAAACGGGUAUAUUGGUUAAUGAUCUCACCUAUCAUCUUUUGUAAGUCCCUCAUCGGGUAUUAGUUAGUAGCGCUACUUAGGUUUGGCACCCUCACCCCGUGCCUGUAGAGGACGGAGGUGAACUAAUGACCCAGUCUGGCCCAGUACUACAUAGGAGUACGUGGGAAGGGCAGUCCGUGAGCCGUCCGUGUUUGGAAAUGAGAUAUUAACAAUAUUACUUGCAUUGGGUAUUAAACUGUUUUACAUGCACCGGGUAACAAACGUUUUCUAAAACUGUGAACUCGCCAGCUUUGUCUGAUACGUGUGUUACAUGCUCGCAGGUCAUUAGGUGCGUUGAAAGCAGGAACUUGCUGGCUGGAGGGCGCGAGUGGUCAUGGUUGCUUGAUGGAUUUAUUAUUAGACAUUUAUUUACUAUGAUUGAUUGGAUAACAUUCAUAUUACGAUACAUUAACGCUUCCGCUAAACUUAUGGUUUUUGAAUAACUUAUGUUGGGAUUUCAGUAUCUUUAAAUAAUGAAGUUUUAUCUCAAACUUGUGUUUCAAUGUAAUUGGUGGCUCAUUGCUAGUCGUCACACGCCUAGCAGGGACACUCCCUAGGUGGUAAUUUUGGGGGUGUGACAGGUAUAGUCACUACGGACUAUAACCAUCGUGAUCACGCUCACGUUAUGAAGUGACGAGUCGUAGUUUCGGCCAAAAUGUGCAUUCUUGCAUAUUUUGUAACCAAACUACUCGUGAGCAUCAAAGCCGUUUGUUUUGAUGUCAAACCUGUUUUCAAACUUAGUUAAGCAUGUUCUAACAUGCUUAGCUCGUCACUUUUAGUUUAGUGCUUAUAUAGGGUCGUAAGGUAACCGAUCUAAACCAUCGCUUAUGCUUUCGAACCCGACCCAUUUUGUCGGUCAUUAGGACCUGACCAAACACAUUAGGUGACCAUAGCUAUAACCUUCCGAAGUUAUACCUUGUGGUCACGAUGUUAGGCGUUCCAGACGCGUUCUACGCGAACGACGCGUAAGGUGGCAUAAGCUACCUAAACGGGUCGUGAUGGACCGUAAGCACUUAGGUUAAGUUUCAUUUUAGUAUGUAGGCUUUGUUAAACCAUAUUACACGAGUCUCCAUACUCGUUUGGUUUUCGAACCCGCGUACUGUCCGAUCCUUCCGAUUUGGUCCGGUAUAUUAACAUAGCUACCUAUUAGGUGCCGUUUGAUAUCCCGUGAUCUUUAGCAUUAUCUGGUUAUUAUACAAGGAACUCAAAGCAAUCUCAGGUGAGUACAUUGAACCCCUUUUUUACUGUUUUCUAAACUGUUUUGGGGU
rnacentral:lncRNA from 1 species